CAGUUAUGACACCACUAUGUGGUCAUUCAGUACUAUACUGUGCCCAUGUGUCUCUGGAAUAAAACUUAUUCACAGAAAAGACAAGCAGUCUGGUACAUGGGGAGCUCUUCUAAAACCACUCUCUCGAAGACAAAAGAAAAUAAGACUGGUAUUGAAGUGGAGCCAUUCUCCAAACAGCUCCCGUCCGCUGGAACCGAGGCCUCGCUAAAUGCAAACGAUUAGAGCUUCACGGAAGAUUAGAAAACAUUCUAUUGCAAACAGCUCUCCCAGAUCCACAGAAACAGUUUUCAAGAAUCAUGGAUCUGAUACCUCCAAGUGCUCUCGCCUCACAUUCGGCUACAGCUGCGGUGACGAGGUACACGUGAGCCGCCGUCAUCUUUGCACAGGUGUGGCCAGGACAUGCUUCACCUCAGGCACUGGCCCCUCCUCUCCAGCCUCCUUCCCAGUACCUUCUCCUACCAGGAGGCAUGGGAAGCCUGCAUAGACUAUUGGCUCAAAAGCCAAAAUGCAGAAGAGCUGACAACCUGUGAGAAAAUCCUUGAAAACGGAGAAGAGAAACUCACAGAAAAGUGCUUUUUUUCCUUUCCUCCAUCAGACUGGCAGUUCUGAGAUGCAUUCCAUAAAGGUUCUCAGAUCAUCAUGAAAUAGCACAUCUGUGAAAUCACGCAUCUGUCACAUGCAGUGAUCACCAACUGGAUAACACAUCUUGUAUUAAUAUUCCCUCCUUCCUGGUUGCGCUCUACCGGGCUCUCACGUCUGCUUCCUGGGAGCGUAUUCCACAUAGACCCCUGCCAGCAAACUUUAUCUCAGGUCAGCUUUGGGGGAGACCCAGGUUAAAACAAUUCAAAUGGUCCCUUGUUGCUUGAGUUGUUUACUAAAGUUCAGUGAAACUGAAAUUUUUUACAUUUUCUUCAUUGG